rnacentral:rRNA from 1 species
GGCCAGACUCCUACGGGAGGCAGCAGUGAGGAAUAUUGGUCAAUGGGCUUACGCCUGAACCAGCCAAGUCGCGUGAGGGAAGACUGCCCUAUGGGUUGUAAACCUCUUUUGUCAGGGAGCAACGCCGGCUACGUGUAGCCGGACUGAGAGUACCUGAAGAAAAAGCAUCGGCUAACUCCGUGCCAGCAGCCGCGGUAAUACGUAGGGGGCGAGCGUUAUCCGGAUUCAUUGGGCGUAAAGCGCGCGUAGGUGGCCGCCUAAGCGGAACCUCUAACCCCGGGGCUCAACCUCGGGCCGGGUUCCGGACUGGGCGGCUCGAGUGCGGUAGAGGAGAGCGGAAUUCCCGGUGUAGCGGUGGAAUGCGCAGAUAUCGGGAAGAACACCGAUGGCGAAGGCAGCUCUCUGGGCCGUCACUGACGCUGAGGCGCGAAAGCUGGGGGAGCGAACAGGAUUAGAUACCCGGGUAA